rnacentral:rRNA from 1 species
CCUAUCAGUAUCCUGAGUAGGGCGGGACACGUGAAAUCCCGUUUGAAUCCGCGAGGACCAUCUCGCAAGGCUAAAUACUAACCAGUGACCGAUAGUGAACCAGUACCGUGAGGGAAAGGUGAAAAGAACCCCGGGAGGGGAGUGAAAGAGAACCUGAAACCGUGUGCCUACAAGUAGUCAGAGCCCGUUAACGGGUAAUGGCGUGCCUUUUGUAGAAUGAACCGGCGAGUUGCGUUAGUCAGCAAGGUUAAGUCAGAAAAGACGGAGCCGUAGCGAAAGCGAGUCUGAAGAGGGCGAGCAGUUGGUUGACGCAGACCCGAAACCAAGUGACCUACCCAUGACCAGGUUGAAGGC